UUGUUCUAAGGAAUGGGGAGGAAAGCGGGGGACCGUAAGGCCUCGCGCUAUGAGAUGAGCCUGCGUUAGGUUAGCUAGUUGGUAGGGUAAAGGCCUACCAAGGCGACGAUCUAUAGCUGGUCUGAGAGGACGAUCAGCCACACUGGGACUGAGACACGGCCCAGACUCCUACGGGAGGCAGCAGUGGGGAAUAUUGGACAAUGGGCGCAAGCCUGAUCCAGCAAUACCGCGUGUGUGAAGAAGGCCUUAGGGUUGUAAAGCACUUUCAAUUGAGAGGAAAACCUGCCGGUCAAUACCCGGUAGCUUGACAUUACCUUUAGAAGAAGCACCGGCUAACUCCGUGCCAGCAGCCGCGGUAAUACGGAGGGUGCGAGCGUUAAUCGGAAUUACUGGGCGUAAAGCGUGCGUAGGCGGUUCGUUAAGUCAGAUGUGAAAGCCCUGGGCUCAACCUGGGAACGGCAUUUGAAACUGGCGGACUAGAGUUUAGUAGAGGGGAGUGGAAUUUCAGGUGUAGCGGUGAAAUGCGUAGAUAUCUGAAGGAACACCAGUGGCGAAGGCGACUCCCUGGACUAGAACCGACGCUGAGGUACGAAAGCGUGGGUAGCAAACAGGAUUAGAUACCCUGGUAGUCC
rnacentral:rRNA from 1 species